UACGAAGGGGGCUAGCGUUGUUCGGAAUUACUGGGCGUAAAGCGAACGUAGGCGGUGUUCCAUGUCAGAGGUGAAAGCCUGGGGCUCAACUCCAGAAUUGCCUUUGAAACGGGGACGCUUGAGUCCGAGAGAGGAUGGCGGAAUUCCUAGUGUAGAGGUGAAAUUCGUAGAUAUUAGGAAGAACACCGGUGGCGAAGGCGGCCAUCUGGCUCGGUACUGACGCUCAGGUUCGAAAGCGUGGGGAGCAAGCAGG
rnacentral:rRNA from 1 species